rnacentral:rRNA from 1 species
UACAGAGGUGGCAAGCGUUGUUCGGAAUUACUGGGCGUGAAGGGCGCGUAGGCGGUCUUGUAAGUCUUGUGUGAAAUCCCUCGGCUUAACUGAGGAACUGCACGGGAUACUGCGAGACUUGAGUUCGGGAGAGGGAAGCGGAAUUCCGGGUGUAGCGGUGAAAUGCGUAGAUAUCCGGAGGAACACCGGUGGCGAAGGCGGCUUCCUGGACCGAUUACUGACGCUGAGGCGCGAAAGCUAGGGGAGCAAACGGG